rnacentral:misc_RNA from 1 species
UUAAUAUCCAGAUCCAAAUCUCACAAACUGAACUAAAAUUGCAUCAGAAUAAUGAACCUAGGAAGCAAGAACCUCAAACGUAAUACAAUCACCAUUCCCAAACAAAGGAAAACACUUUUUCCAAGCCUGAAGUAUGAGCAAACAGAGCGAGUCACAAGAUCUGAGGUCUUGCAUGAGCCUUGCAUUACAGGUUCUGCUCUCUAGCAUCAUCUCAAUACCACUUAAAAAACUCCACUAAUAUAAUGUAGGAAUCACACUGCCAGCUAGAAACUCUCACCAGUCACUAAAGUAGAAAAGAUCCAUCCAUCCAUGGUUCACACAAAUUCAUUAAACAAGAAGUAAAGCCAAUCACAUCAUCUGUGUCUUCCAUUUUAUGCUCCUCUCCCACAAUUAGUAGCAAUAACUAGUUCAAAACUCUGUUAGAUACUUACAGUUUUCCACUGAUCUGUUCUCUAAUAACUGACUUUCAAUCCAAGCUGCUAAUUAGCAUUUCCUUCUGUUCCUAACUUUUCAUCAACUAGCACUCCAGAACUAAGUAAUUCAAGGUCAUAACUCAACUGAACUACAAGAUACCAAGCAUUUUAAAGUUGGACAAAGAAAAAUGUAAACGUGCAACCCUAUCCAUCAAUGUAAUAGUAGUGUAAGAAAUGCACAAGUACAUCCAUCAAUACAAUAUAAAAGGUAAUGUAAUUGUUAAUCACAAUACUCCCAUCAAAUCUAAGGAGCUAAUUAUUAUACUUUAGCAGAAAAUAACUUUUUACUUCAUGAAUUGCACAGAUAACUUCAAAGAAUAAGAAUGCAGGAUAAAUUUUCUGAAAAAGAACAGGCUUACCUAUCAUUCAUGCUCCACAACAGUUUGAACAAGGAGCAGCAGGAUUACAAAUGGGCUGCUACCAUCCAAACCAUUAGUUCCAUAACAAAAUUCAUAGAAAACCAUCAAAAUAGAUAUAAUUAUGAAAAUGAAGGAACAAAUCAACUGCCUAUGUAUGCCAUGUAAACCAUAUGAUACACGAGAUCAGUGAUAAUAUAAAAACAUAAUAUUAAUAUAAAAAAAUACAGGAUGCAAAUCAGUACGGAAAUUCCCAAUGAAAAUGAAAAGGAGUUAACAAUGGAAAAUUGCCAAAAGGAUCAACAAAAUAAUAAAACAAAAAACAAACUGAAACUAAAGAUUUACUAGGCCUCAUUUACUAUCUUGCAAUUUAUCCAGAAAUUCAAAAAAAGAGACCCAUCGUAAAAGCCAACCACAACCUCACUUGCAUUCAACACCUGCCUCAGCAGCUCUACGAGGCUUGUUUUUCCGCCUGCUUCCAUUAUGUCGAAAUCCAUUAGAUUUAGUUGAGUCCUCAGUAGUCGAUCUGGUAGCAACACCAUUUUCUUCCUUCACUGAAUCAGGUUUCUCCUUUGCCUGUGAGCAGCGUUUCCUCUUCUUUCCAUUUUCUGCUGCUAUUGGACUUUUUGUCUCUGUGCUUGUAAUGCCUGUUUUUCCAUUCUCUCCAUCUUCCUCCUCUAUUUUUUCAACUUCCUCUUCAUCAACAUCAUCUUUCAGUGGUUUUUGAGGCCUUCCCCUUCUUUUCUGUGCUGGAAUUUUCUCUUCCUCACCACUUCCAGGAUCAUCAUGAUUGCUGACAUUCAACUUUUUCGCCUUUCCUCUACCUCUACCCAUAAUUUUAAAAUCCCGUGAAAGAAAUACUCAUAUGGACAAAGAAUCAUUCUGCCAAACCAAAGGGGAAGGAAAGAAAAUACUAAGGUAUUGAUUAAAGAAAAUUCACAGGCCUCAUUGAAAAUGCCUAGCAAAUUUAGGAGCCCACAACAAUAAAAGCAUAUGAUCAUAUGAUACAUGUCAUGCUAGUAAAAACACACACCAUAAGAUUUAAAAAAUAAAAUAAAUCGGAAUUAGCAAAUCCAGCAAUAAAUGAUAAAUACAGAUUAACUAGCAUAUAUACAUUGCUUUGUAUUGAGAGAGAGAAAAAGAAAGAGAGUAUCCUUGCACUUAAAAUCCAUAUAUUUUAAUUUUACAGAAAGAGUCCAAGCUAUCAUUCAAGUUAUGCAACAAUAAAUGCCUGAAUUCAUAAUCUGUCAUUUUUAGGAUUUAACUGAUGGCAUGGUUUCACUUCUUUCAUAUCCAUAAAAUUAAGUUGGUAGCCUCCUUCACUUCAAUGCCUCAUUGUAGAACAAAGGUCUACACAGAGAAGCAUAAAUCUAUUUUCUCAGUAAAUCAAAACAAUACAAGUAUCUAAAAAUUCAAUUGCAGGUAAAAUCAUCAAUCACCCUGUUCUCUACAGAGAGAAAACAACAAGGCUGAAAAUAUUUCAUUUAAGUAUUUUGAUUCUUUAUUCAUUGUGAACUUAAAAGAUGAAAAAAUCAACUUCAAAUAGCUUAAUGACCGUAUCCAGAUCAGUUGACUGGAGGCUCUAUCUUCUCAAAAGCCAGUUUGUGAAUUGUUGGGAUUAAGAAUAUAUCAUUUCAAUUCUUCUUACAGACCUAACUGUUUAGGAGGCAUAGAACUCUAAAUCCCAAUCGAGGGACUAUCAACAAAUAACAGAACUCUUUAUGCUUUGGACCUAAAACUAUGAAAAUAUAUGAGAGUACUAACAACAGCUGGAAAGAAAGCACCUUAAAUCAAAUUAGGUGUAAAAUUCAAGAAGCAAAGGUGCAUCCUUUUAUCAACUCGAAUUGGGGAUCGCUAAUUCGAUUUCAUGGAAAUCAAUGAAUAAAAUAACCCAAACCAAAAUCAUGUACUUCCAAAACCACAAACAAGCUCCUUAAACUCAACCAAAAGUAAGAUCCAGCAAAAGCUUUACAAUCCUCACUUUUGCAAUUGAAGGAUUGAGUAAAACCGAACUUAGGAUCAAAAUAAACUCAGUUAGCUUCAACUCUCAUAAACCACAACCAUGGAAAACAAAAAGCAAUACAAAUAUCCCACAAAAUACAUGUUCCUACCAAAAUAUGUAAAUAAAAGAAAGAAAUGAAACUAACCUGGUUUUGGUAAAAGCUUA